UACGUAGGGUGCAAGCGUUAAUCGGAAUUACUGGGCGUAAAGCGUGCGCAGGCGGUUGUGCAAGACCGAUGUGAAAUCCCCGGGCUUUAACCUGGGAAUGGCAUUGGUGACUGCACGGCUAGAGUGUGUCAGAGGGGGGUAGAAUUCCACGUGUAGCAGUGAAAUGCGUAGAGAUGUGGAGGAAUACCGAUGGCGAAGGCAGCCCCCUGGGAUAACACUGACGCUCAUGCACGAAAGCCGUGGGGAGCAAACAGG
rnacentral:rRNA from 1 species